AUAAACCUAAAAGAAAAUGGAAAUUUUAAGGCAUUUUGUGGUAAAUGCCUAAUUUUGCCGAAAUUGGGAAUUUUAUUCCAUGAAUGGACCUUAGGUUAAAUUUUAUUAUGUGAUUAAUUAAAUUAAAUGUGAGAGACAUUAAAUUUAAUUAAUUAAUGUUAAGUUUGGUGAUUAAAACUUAAUAAGAGUGAAAAAGGUGUCAAAAGCCAAUUUGGACUUUUCUUCUUAUGAAACCUUUAUUAACCUUUAUAAAAAAAAAAAAAAUUAAUGAUCACAUAUAUGGCAAAGGGUGGCCGGCCAUGUGGUCUUUUAGAGUUGUGUGAACCCAAUUUUAUAAAGUUUAACUCCCAUUUUAAUUAAGAAGUCAAGUGGGCAAGUGGGUAGAAAAGCACUCAAGUGUUUUGUGAUAUUUUGAAGAGUUGUGUGAGCCAUUCUAACCCCCAAAUCCGACCACUCUCCCUCCCUCAUUCACUCUCAUCUGAUUUUUGAAGACUCUCUCAAGUGUUCUCUCCAUUUUCAACCCCAAGAACACCAAAGAAACUUGGAAGCUAAGUCUUGGUCUAGGAAGGGUUUUCCCUAAGGUAAAGUUUCAUUAAUCUAGACUUUUGUCAAGUUUUAAUCAUAGAGUUUCAAAUAGCUAAUUACCUAUGUUGUUGGGGGAAGUUGGUUAGGGUUUUUGAAAGGUUUUGGAGGAGCCAAAGCUAAUAGGAAGGUCAAAACCUUAAGCAAGAACACCAAAGAGGUAAGUGCAAGGGCAAGGCAGAGCAGUGAGCGCUGGAGUCUUCCUUGCAAAUGUACAUGUGGACCGACCUUUUGGGAAGCCGUUUUAUUUUUGGAAAUGUUGUGUAAUUUUCCUAAGCAAGGCUCACUCUACUCUUUAUAAAAUAUGUUUGUAACUAAAUGUUAAGUAUGGCCAUACGACUUUUUAAAAAGUUUUUUUUUAUACGGGUUUUUGAGACAUUUUGUUAAAUGAAAACAUUUAUAUUUCCGCAA